UAGGGAAUCUUCCACAAUGGACGCAAGUCUGAUGGAGCAACGCCGCGUGAGUGAAGAAGGUCUUCGGAUCGUAAAACUCUGUUGUUAGAGUAGAACACGAGUGAGAGUAACUGUUCAUUCGAUGACGGUAUCUAACCAGCAAGUCACGGCUAACUACGUGCCAG
rnacentral:rRNA from 1 species